UACAGAGGGGGCAAGCGUUGUUCGGAAUUACUGGGCGUAAAGGGCGCGUAGGUGGCCUUCUAAGUUGAACGUGAAAUCCCUGGGCUCAACCCAGGAACUGCGUCCAAGACUGGGAGGCUUGAAUCCGGGAGAGGGAUGCGGAAUUCCAGGUGUAGCGGUGAAAUGCGUAGAUAUCUGGAGGAACACCAGAGGCGAAGGCGGCUACCUGGACAAUUGCUGACGCUCAGGCACGAAAGCGUGGGGAGCAAAAGGG
rnacentral:rRNA from 1 species